rnacentral:rRNA from 1 species
GUAGGGGUGCGAGCGUUAUCCGGAAUCAUUGGGCGUAAAGAGCUCGUAGGCGGUUCAGCAAGUCGGCUGUGAAAUUCCGAGGGCUCAACCUCGGAACUGCAGUCGAUACUGUUGUGACUCGAGUCCGGUAGAGGAGAAUGGAAUUCCCGGUGUAGCGGUGAAAUGCGCAGAUAUCGGGAGGAACACCAGUAGCGAAGGCGGUUCUCUGGGCCGGCACUGACGCUGAGGAGCGAAAGCGUGGGUAGCAAACAGGAUUAGAUACCCUGGUAGUCCACGCCGUAAACGUUGGAUACUAGGUGUGGCGUUCCGACCAACGGUCGCCGUGCCGAAGCUAACGCAUUAAGUAUCCCGCCUGGGGAGUACGGCCGCAAGGCUA